GACGAACGCUGGCGGCGUGCCUAAUACAUGCAAGUAGAACGCUGAAGGGGGAUCUUGCUUCUCUGGAUGAGUUGCGAACGGGUGAGUAACGCGUAGGUAACCUGCCUUGUAGCGGGGGAUAACUAUUGGAAACGAUAGCUAAUACCGCAUAAUAGUAUAUGUUGCAUGACAUUUGCUUAAAAGGUGCAAUUGCAUCACUACCAGCUGGACCUGCGUUGUAUUAGCUAGUUGGUGGGGUAACGGCUCACCAAGGCGACGAUACCUAGCCGACCUGAGAGGGUGAUAGGCCACACUGGGAAUGAGACACGGGCCAGACUCCUAAGGGAGGGAGCAGUAGGGAAUCUUCGGCAAUGGACGGAAGUCUGACCGAGCAACGCCGCGUGAGUGAAGAAGGUUUUCGGAUCGUAAAGAUCUGUUGUAAGCGAAGAAAGAGUGUGAGAGUGGAAAGUUCACACUGUGACGGUAACUUACCAGAAAGGGACGGCUAACUACGUG
rnacentral:rRNA from 1 species